UACUGCUGUAUGCUCACGUGGAGGACGGCGUGGUCGAGCACCACGUGGAAUGCGUGGAUCCCACAGUACACGACCAGCUUCACCAGCCUGUGCGCAGUCACCGAGUCCAUCCCCAGCACGCUCUGUUCAACCAGUUCGUCGUCGUGGCACGGGUGGCGCCAAGCGCAUUUGCUUGGGACGUCCUAAUGGAGUGAAUCCGAGCCUGCCGGCUUCCGCACUUGCCCAAACAGCUCCUGCGCCACGAAGUGCAACCCCAUGGCUGGAUGCGCUGGGAGGACACAGUUCUGAUAUGGCAUUUAUGCGGGAGCGUGGACGUGAUGUCGCUGUCGGUCCUGUUCAGCAGCCAGCGCCUCAACUGUUGGGUGGCUUUGUCGCACCGAAUGGAUGCGUUGUGCAGCGUCCGAUUGUGGAUAUGCACCCGAACAAGAACCGUGGUGGCAGACGCAAGCUGUAGUGCAAUGUACAUACGUGGGUCGGAGCGUGGAUAUGCGGAUUCAUCAUUGCUAUUUGUUAAUGCAUCGGUUGUGGUCAUGUCAUGUGUUUUU